UUUCCUACGGGAGGCAGCAGUGGGGAAUAUUGCACAAUGGGGGAAACCCUGAUGCAGCGACGCCGCGUGAAGGAAGAAGUAUCUCGGUAUGUAAACUUCUAUCAGCAGGGAAGAAAAUGACGGUACCUGACCAAGAAGCCCCGGCUAACUACGUGCCAGCAGCCGCGGUAAUACGUAGGGGGCAAGCGUUAUCCGGAUUUACUGGGUGUAAAGGGAGCGUAGGCGGCGACGCAAGUCAGAAGUGAAAGCCCGGGGCUCAACUCCGGGACUGCUUUUGAAACUGCGUUGCUAGAUUGCGGGAGAGG
rnacentral:rRNA from 1 species